GACGAACCGUGCGAACGUUGUUCGGAAUCACUGGGCUUAAAGGGCGCGUAGGCGGGCCGGCAAGUCCGGGGUGAAAGCCCCCAGCUCAACUGGGGAAGCGCCUUGGAUACUGCCGGCCUCGAGGGAGGUAGGGGCGUGCGGAACUUCCGGUGGAGCGGUGAAAUGCGUAGAUAUCGGAAGGAACACCGGUGGCGAAAGCGGCGCACUGGACCAUAACUGACGCUGAGGCGCGAAAGCUAGGGGAGCAAACAGG
rnacentral:rRNA from 1 species